rnacentral:lncRNA from 1 species
GAUGGUGUGGGAUGUGUCCUUUGGCAUUUUAGAAGAAUUGAGAUUGAAAGUCAAUGUUUCUUUGCCUUCAAAUGUAUUUUAUGGUUCUUUAAACCUUGAGGCUUGUUUUCUUCUCGCCAUUCAAGCUGUGCUUCAGAUGCUGAUAACUGACUUGCCAUGGUUGACUUCUUUUCUUGAAAUUAUGUUAGCUUUUGGGAAAAAUUUCUGGGCACUAAAGCUGUUUUUGGAAGGCCUCUUGUACCGAAUGCCUGUUCUUCAUGAUGUUGUCAGUAUGAUUGCCAGAGAUCUGAAUUACCAGAAAAACACUCUUCUAAAAUUGUGGCAAACUCUAGGUCCAGACUAUGUUGGGGAGCUCCUCUGCCUUUUCCUGAGCUUCAGAAAUUCACAACUGCAAUCUGUUGGCAUCUUUCUAUCACAUGUGGUAAUAGAAAACUUAAACCAGUGUCCUUGGGCAAAGUCGCUUGAUAUUUUUCGUCUCAAAGCUUUCAAAAGACCUCAUCUUGAGACUGCAAAUCAUCUUCAGUUGAACAAAUUUGUUUCUAUUUUGGAGAAUUUGUAACUAUUUCCUAAGUCAUUUCUCUUGAAAAUUACAAAUUUAUUGCAACUCACUGCCAGAUGCCUACAGUAAGCCCACCAUGACUGC